UCCUAAAUCCAAAAGUGAUCAUGGGCUGCCUGUGCCUUGGCCAUUGAUAGUGCAGGGAGAGAAUUGCUGAAAGGCGUUGUCCCCAUGUUUGAAGGGCCCAGUUGUCCCUUCCAAACCCUGGAGCUGUCACACA